CCUACGGGGGGCAGCAGUGAGGAAUAUUGGUCAAUGGCCGAGAGGCUGAACCAGCCAAGUCGCGUGAGGGAAGACGGCCCUACGGGUUGUAAACCUCUUUUGUCGGGGAGCAAAGCGAACUACGUGUGGUUCAUUGAGAGUACCCGAAGAAAAAGCAUCGGCUAACUCCGUGCCAGCAGCCGCGGUAAUACGGGGGAGGCGGGCGUUAUCCGGAUUUAUUGGGGUUAAGGGGUGCGCAGGCGGAGGUGCAAGUCAGCGGUCAAAUUGCGGGGCUCAACCCCGUACUGCCGUUGAAACUGCAUCCCUUGAGUGCGCGAGAAGUAUGCGGAAUGCGUGGUGUAGCGGUGAAAUGCAUAGAUAUCACGCAGAACUCCGAUUGCGAAGGCAGCAUACCGGCGCGCAACUGACGCUCAUGCACGAAAGCGUGGGUAUCGAACAGGAUUAGAUACCCGAGUAGUC
rnacentral:rRNA from 1 species